rnacentral:rRNA from 1 species
CCUACGGGGGGCAGCAGUGAGGAAUAUUGGUCAAUGGACGAGAGUCUGAACCAGCCAAGUAGCGUGAAGGAUGACUGCCCUAUGGGUUGUAAACUUCUUUUAUAUGGGAAUAAAACGUUCCACGUGUGGGAUUUUGUAUGUACCAUAUGAAUAAGGAUCGGCUAACUCCGUGCCAGCAGCCGCGGUAAUACGGAGGAUCCGAGCGUUAUCCGGAUUUAUUGGGUUUAAAGGGAGCGUAGGUGGAUUGUUAAGUCAGUUGUGAAAGUUUGCGGCUCAACCGUAAAAUUGCAGUUGAAACUGGCAGUCUGGAGUACAGUAGAGGUGGGCGGAAUUCGUGGUGUAGCGGUGAAAUGCUUAGAUAUCACGAAGAACUCCGAUUGCGAAGGCAGCUCACUGGACUGCAACUGACACUGAUGCUCGAAAGUGUGGGUAUCAAACAGGAUUAGAUACCCGUGUAGUC